AUUGAACGCUGGCGGCAGGCUUAACACAUGCAAGUCGAGCGAGCGGCGGACGGGUGAGUAAUGUCUGGAAAACUGCCUGAUGGAGGGGGCUAACUCCUGGAAACGGUUGCUAAUACCACAUACCAUCAGGUGUGCCCAUAUGGGAUUAGCUAGUAGGUGGGGUAAUGGCUCACCUAGGCGACGAUCCCUAGCUGGUCUGACAGGAUGACGGGGCACACUGGAACUGAGACACGGCCCAGUGUCCUACGGGCGGCAGCAGUGGGGAACAUUGCACAAUGGGCGCAAGCCUGAUGACGCCAUGCCGCGUGUGUGAAUAAGGCCCUCGGGUUGUAAAGCCCUUUCAGCGAGGAGGCGUUACUCGCAGAAGAAGCACCGGCUAACUCCGUGCCAGCCGCCGCGGUAAUUC
rnacentral:rRNA from 1 species